rnacentral:rRNA from 1 species
CCUACGGGUGGCUGCAGUCGAGAAUCUUCGGCAAUGGGCGCAAGCCUGACCGAGCGACGCCGCGUGCGGGAUGAAGGCCUUCGGGUUGUAAACCGCUGUCGUAGGGGAGGAAGGUCUGGUGAAGAGCCAGACUUGACCGAUCCUAGGAGGAAGGGCCGGCUAAUCUCGUGCCAGCAGCCGCGGUAAUACGAGAGGCCCAAACGUUAUUCGGAAUCACUGGGCUUAAAGAGUUCGUAGGCGGCGCGGAAAGUGGGGUGUGAAAGCCCUCGGCUCAACCGAGGAACUGCGCUCCAAACUGCCGUGCUCGAGGAGGAUAGAGGUAAGCGGAACUGAUGGUGGAGCGGUGAAAUGCGUUGAUAUCAUCAGGAACACCGGAGGCGAAGGCGGCUUACUGGGUCCUUUCUGACGCUGAGGAACGAAAGCUAGGGGAGCAAACGGGA